rnacentral:rRNA from 1 species
GAUGAACGCUGGCGGCAUGCCUAACACAUGCAAGUCGAUCGGUAAGGCUCUUCGGUGUACACGAGAGGCGGACGGCUGCGUAACGCGUAGGAACACACCCUGCAGUGAGGGAUAAGACACCGAAAGGUGUUCUAAUACCGCAUACGGUCUUCGGAUUAAAGCAUUUAUGCGCUGAAGGAGUGGCCUGCGUCAUAUUGGAUAGUGGGUGAGGUAAUGGCUCACCAAGUCGAUGAUGUGUAGCUGGUCGGAGAGGAUGAUCAGCUAGACUGGAACUGAGACACGGUCCAGACUCCUACGGGAGGCAGCAGUGAGGAAUAUUACACAAUGAGCGAAAGCUUGAUGGAGCAAUGCCGCGUGCAGGAUGAAGGCCGUCGGGUUGUGAACUGCUUUUAUAAGAGAAGAUUAUGACGGUAACCGAUGAAGAAGGGACGGCUAACUACGUG